rnacentral:rRNA from 1 species
ACAUGCCUACAACAUAGCGUUAAUGCACUGGAUCCCAUUAGAACUCCGCAGUUAAGCGCGCUUAGGCUAGAGUAGUACUGGGAUGGGUGACCGCUCAUGAAGUCCUAGUGUUUUACAUGCC